ACGGCCAUACCAUGAUGAAAACACCGGUUCUCGUCCGAUCACCGUAAAGUUAAGCAUCAUCGGGCGCGGUUAAUACUUCAAAAGGGUGACCACCUGGGAUCACUGCGUGCUGUUG